rnacentral:lncRNA from 1 species
AUGCCCGCGGGGGAGGCCGGGCUGCUCUUUUGUGGCCGCUCUUCCAGCCCGGCCCUAUCCGUGCUGGGGGAACGCCGCGCAGCCUCGCCGUGCCGGGUUUGCUUUGGCCGGAGGCCAACGGCACCGGGGGGGACCGGCCCCUUCCUGCCGUUACACGGCCAUAAACGCGCCCCAAAGGUGGGGAUGCUCCAGGCAGCGCUUCCCAGGACCUCCGGCCUCCGAGGGGGCCAUCCCUGUCCCUGUCCCUGUCCUUGCCCUGCAGUGGUCGGACAGACCCGGGCACCGCGAUGGGGUGGGAGCGGAGGGAUGGAGCCCCAGCACAGCUCGGGGAACCCCUUCCCAGCGCCAAGCAGCACCAGCGGGGAGAGGGCACGUGAAGAGCGGUGGGAGACCCGCGUCCCCAUCGCAGCCCCAGGGGGUGACCUCAGCUCGGCUUUACUCACUCAUUUCCCGUCACCCCGCAGCGCGGGACUGGGGAGGGAGCGCACCAGGAGCACAACGCGGCCUCAGAACGCCCUCGUGCCCUUAGCAGCCAGGAAGGAUCCCAGCCGCCCGCAAGCAUCUCUCCAUCUCCAUCGGGAAAGUGACCCAAAACAGUUCAUCUCAAGUUCGCUGACACUGAGUCUGUGCCCGGGAUCUGCUGGGACGAGGUUCAGAGGUGAAGGGACCUGUCUGUGCCCAUGUGAGGAGCAGCACUGAGCUGAGCUAGGGCCAGACCUGUGGCUUCUGACCAGGCUGUGAUAUGAGCAUGGCUCCUGAGCAGCAGCAUGUCAGCACCACGGGUCUGGCCAGCACAUGACACUUUCUGUUUAAAACAACGGUGUUGCAAGGCACAGCUUUAAAGUCCUGUUGGGAAACAGUCUUGUGGGUGGCAGGGAAAUGAAUAGCCUUCAUCCAGUGAUGCCUGAAAGCAAAAAAAAAAAAAAAAAAAAUGGCAAAAAAAAGCAAAAAAAAAACAAGAAAAAAAUAAAAAAAAAAAAAAAAAAAAAAAAAAAAAAAAA